UACGUAGGGGGCGAGCGUUGUCCGGAUUUAUUGGGCGUAAAGAGCGUGUAGGCGGCCAGGUAGGUCUGCUGUGAAAACUCGAGGCUCAACCUCGAGACGUCGGCGGAAACCAUCUGGCUAGAGUCCGGAAGAGGAGAGUGGAAUUCCUGGUGUAGCGGUGAAAUGCGCAGAUAUCAGGAAGAACACCCAGUGGCGAAAGGCGCUCUCUGGGACGGUACUGACGCUGAGACGCGAAAGCGUGGGGAGCGAACAGG
rnacentral:rRNA from 1 species